rnacentral:lncRNA from 1 species
GGCAAACGCUCCCGUUUUCCGUGUAAGCCCCGAGCACGAUCGCUCGCUCCCGGCCCGCAACUGCCCUAAAUCCGGAUCGGGUUAAUAAUGUAUUUUCUAGGAAAAAAAAAUUAAAAUGAAAUAAAAUAGAAUUUAAACUAAAUUGCGGGAGGGAGCCCCGACCGCACAAAGCGGCGGCCGCGCUCCGCGCCCGCGGAAAGCAGGCAGGAAACCCCGAGAUCCGCGCAGGGAAUGAAUGCUAAUAUAUAUAUAUUAAUGUGUGUGUAUAUAUAUCUCUAAAAGCAGCAACCCCCAGACUCCGCCGCUCAAUCUGAAACAGCCAAAUAACUCAGGAAUUCUUUUUGUUAAGGGAUAUAAACACCUCGGGAAGCGCGCAUGGGGGGGGUCCCUCCGCAUGUGCGGGUCCCUGGCUAUUUAUCUCAGUGUAUAUUUGCCUAUGGCCGUGUGGAUGUGCGGAAACCACGGCGAUUAAUUAAUACACGACAUGGGGGGACGUGAAUCAACCCGUAGGUAUUUAUGUGCCGAGCUGUGGGUAGGUGCAGGGAUCUGUAUAUAAUGCGGGAGGGUGGGGGGGGGGUUGUACCAGGGCUGUGAAUACAAUAUAAAAUACCUCAAAACUUGCCACCCCCUCUUUGAAUGGCUCCUCAAGCAGCAGAACGCUCCCGUUCCCAGCAAAUAAUAAUUAUUCUUAAUAUUAACCAUAAUUAUAAUCCCCGUUUUUUUUUUUAAACCUGUUUUAAAGGAAAUCAAGUGAUUUAAAUAAAGAAAAGUCAUCUUCCUAGCAAUCCUCUAGCAGGAAACUGUGUGUGUGGGGGGUGGCCUUGCAUUGAAAGUAAAUAGAAUUCAAAUUAAAAUGAAAAAGAAAGGAAACCCCAAAUUAUUAUCAGAAAUAGCCUAUUUUGACAUAAAACCUGAACAAACCAAGCGCUAGAUGAGUGGAAGAAGCAAUUCCUCUGCAGGACACAGUGAGCUCGAGGUUCGAGGGCUACAAACUAGUUCUGGUUUUGAGCAAAAAGAUCAACUCGCAUGGCCAGGACAGCGUAAAGGGUAUAAAGGCACCUUUCUAAGGUCGUUAGUGCGUUGCUUUAUCUCCAAACGGGUGCAAAAGAAGCAAAAAAAAAAAUCGAUUUUUGUUAUUUUAUUUGAUUUUAUUUUGUUCCCCUCAUAAAAACGUUUGUGUAGGUAGGAGAAAACCGAAAGUAUCU